rnacentral:rRNA from 1 species
UACGAAGGGGGCGAGCGUUGUUCGGAAUUACUGGGCGUAAAGGGCGCGCAGGCGGCCCUUGAAGUCAGGCGUGAAAGCCCCGGGCUCAACCUGGGAGGUGCGCUUGAUACUCGAGGGCUUGAGUGCGGGAGAGGAGAGUGGAAUUCCCAGUGUAGAGGUGAAAUUCGUAGAUAUUGGGAAGAACACCCGUGGCGAAGGCGGCUCUCUGGGACGGUACUGACGCUGAGACGCGGAAAAGCGUGGGGAGCGAACAGG